AGUGAACGCUGGCGAUAGGCCUAACACAUGCAAGUCGAACGGCAGCACAGUAAGAGCUUGCUCUUACGGGUGGCGAGUGGCGGACGGGUGAGGAAUACAUCGGAAUCUACUUUUUCGUGGGGGAUAACGUAGGGAAACUUACGCUAAUACCGCAUACGACCUACGGGUGAAAGCAGGGGAUCUUCGGACCUUGCGCGAUUGAAUGGGCCGAUGUCGGAUUAGCUAGUUGGCGGGGUAAAGGCCCACCAAGGCGACGAUCCGUAGCUGGUCUGAGAGGAUGAUCAGCCACACUGGAACUGAGACACGGUCCAGACUCCUACGGGAGGCAGCAGUGGGGAAUAUUGGACAAAGGGCGCAAGCCUGAUCCAGCCAUACCGCGUGGGUGAAGAAGGCCUUCGGGUUGUAAAGCCCUUUUGUUGGGAAAGAAAAGCAGCAGGUUAAUACCCCGCUGUUCUGACGGUACCCAAAGAAUAAGCACCGGCUAACUUCGUG
rnacentral:rRNA from 1 species